rnacentral:rRNA from 1 species
AUUGAACGCUGGCGGCAUGCCUUACACAUGCAAGUCGAACGGCAGCACGGGAGCAAUCCUGGUGGCGAGUGGCGAACGGGUGAGUAAUAUAUCGGAACGUGCCCGGUCGUGGGGAUAACGUAGCGAAAGCUACGCUAAUACCGCAUACGAUCUACGGAUGAAAGCGGGGGAUCGCAAGACCUCGCGCGAUUGGAGCGGCCGAUAUCAGAUUAGGUAGUUGGUGAGGUAAAGGCUCACCAAGCCGACGAUCUGUAGCUGGUCUGAGAGGACGACCAGCCACACUGGGACUGAGACACGGCCCAGACUCCUACGGGAGGCAGCAGUGGGGAAUUUUGGACAAAUGGGCGCAAGCCUGAUCCAGCAAAUGCCGCGUGCAGGAUGAAGGCCUU